rnacentral:rRNA from 1 species
UACAGAGGUGGCAAGCGUUGUUCGGAAUUACUGGGCGUAAAGGGCGCGUAGGCGGCCAUCUAAGUCAGACGUGAAAUCCCCCGGCUCAACCUGGGAACUGCGUCUGAUACUGGACGGCUUGAGUUUGGGAGAGGGAUGUAGAAUUCCAGGUGUAGCGGUGAAAUGCGUAGAUAUCUGGAGGAAUACCGGUGGCGAAGGCGGCAUCCUGGACCAAUACUGACGCUGAGGCGCGAAAGCGUGGGGAGCAAACAGG